rnacentral:rRNA from 1 species
GACGAACGCUGGCGGCGUGCUUAACACAUGCAAGUCGAACGGAAAGGCCCUGCUUUUGUGGUGUGCUCGAGUGGCGAACGGGUGAGUAACACGUGAGUAACCUGCCCUUGACUUUGGGAUAACUUCAGGUAACGGGGGCUAAUACCGGAUAGGAUCUGCUGCUGCAUGGUGGGGGGUGGAAAGUUGCGGCGGGUGGGGAUGGACUCGCGGGUUAUGAGCUUGUUGGUGGGGUAGUGGUUGACCAAGCCUUUGACGGGUAGGCGGCCUGGGAGGGUGACCGGCGACCAGGGGACUGAGAGACGGCCCAGACUGGUACGGGAGGCAGAAGUGGGGAAUAUUGCACAAUGGGAGGAAGCCUGAUGCAGCAACGCCGCGUGCGGGAUGACGGUCUUCGGGUUGUAAACCGCUUUCGCCUGUGACGAAGCGGGAGUGACGGUAAUGGGUAAAGAAGCACCGGCUAACUACGUG